rnacentral:rRNA from 1 species
UUUCCGUAGGUGAACCUGCGGAAGGAUCAUUGUCGAAACCUGUCCGAACGGAACGAUCGUGAAUUUGUCGUUUUAAACAUGCGGAAGGGGUCCGGCGACGGAUCCGCGUCCGCUGCGGCUGAGGCGAUGAUGCGGCUUGCGCCAUUCCUCGCCCUCUGCUGCAAAAGAACACAAAAUUCGGCGCGAAUCGCGUCAAGGAAUCCGAACGAAUGUUUCGCGCCGUCCCAUGCCGUACUCGGUGUGGGCAGCGGCGUUGAAGUCUUUAUACGAUAAAUCUAAUGACUCUCGGCAACGGAUAUCUCGGCUCUCGCAUCGAUGAAGAACGUAGCGAAAUGCGAUACUUGGUGUGAAUUGCAGAAUCCCGUGAACCAUCGAGUCUUUGAACGCAAGUUGCGCCCGAAGCCGUUAGGCUGAGGGCACGCCUGCCUGGGUGUCACACAACGACGCCGACAUGCACCGCGCUUUCGGCGGAGAAUGGCCUCCCGCGAACUUUUGUGUCACGGUUGUCCCAAAUCCACCAGCCCUCGGCGAAGCGCAGUCACGAUGUUCGGUGGAUUGCUGCCGGAAGACACUCGUGCGCGCGCGUCGCGCUGUGGGUGCGAUGGACCCCGGGAGACGUAUGUCUCCUCUGCUGUCAUGCGACCCCAGGUCAGGCGGGGACACCCGCUGAGUUUAAG